rnacentral:rRNA from 1 species
GAUGAACGCUGGCGGCGUGCCUAAUACAUGCAAGUCGAGCGAACAUCAGAGAAGCUUGCUUCUCUGAUGUUAGCGGCGGACGGGUGAGUAACACGUGGGUAACCUACCUAUAAGACUGGGAUAACUCCGGGACACCGGGGCUAAUACCGGAUAAUAUUUUGAACCGCAUGGUUCGAUAGUGAAAGACGGUUUCGGCUAUCACUUAUAGAUGGACCCGCGCCGUAUUAGCUAGUUGGUAAUGUAACGGCUUACCAAGGCGACGAUACGUAGCCGACCUGGGAGGGUGAUCGGCCACACUGGAACUGAGACACGGUCCAGACUCCUACGGGAGGCAGCAGUAGGGAAUCUUCCGCAAUGGGCGAAAGCCUGACGGAGCAACGCCGCGUGAGUGAUGAAGGUCUUCGGAUCGUAAAACUCUGUUGUUAGGGAAGAACAAAUUUGUUAGUAACUGAACAAGUCUUGACGGUACCUAACCAGAAAGCCACGGCUAACUACGUGCCAGCCGCCGCAGUAA